GACGUAGGGUCCAAGCGUUGUCCGGAUUUCCUGGGCGUAAAGAGCGCGUCGGCGGUCUGUUAAGUGAGAAGUGAAAUCUCCAGGGCUCAACCCGGAAACUGCUUUUCAUACUGGCAGACUUGAGGGAUGCAGAGGUGAAUGGAAUUCCUGGUGUAGCGGUGAAAUGCGUUGAUAUCAGGAGGAACACCCAUGGCGAAGGCAGUUCACUGGGCAUCAUCUGACGCUGAGGCGCGAAAGCGUGGGUAGCAAACAGG
rnacentral:rRNA from 1 species